rnacentral:rRNA from 1 species
CCGUGAUAAAGUAGCAUAAUCACUCGUCAUUUAAUUGGUGACUGGAAUGAAUGGUUACACGAAUCUUUAACUGUCUCAAGGGGAAAGUUCAAUUAAUUUGAAAAAACAGUGAAGAUGCUGUUAACAAAAUUGUAAGACGAAAAGACCCUUUCGAGCUUUACUAUAAGCUUAUAGAAAAAAUCUUUAAUAAAAAUAUAAUAAAAACAAACUGUAAGCUAGUUAGUUUGGUUGGGGCGACCACCUCUAAAACAGUAUCAGAGGAAAUCUAAAGGUAUAAUAGUAAUAUUAAUUGCCUUACUGUAUACAAACAAGUUAAUCAGUUACUAUUAUGUAGGAUAUAAUGACCCGUUGAAUUAAUUUCAAAAUUCAACGACCAUGAAAAAAGUUACCGUAGGGAUAACAGGGUAAUAUUAUCAAAGAGUUCAUAUCGAUGAUGAU